AAGAAGAAGGGUGGUUCUAUGCAGACUGUGUCUUCACAGUUUAGGGAGAACUUGGGCAAGCUGAUGACUAACCUGAGGAGCACCCAUCCUCACUUUGUGCGCUGCCU